ensembl:lncRNA
UUUUUUUUUUUUUUUUUUAAAUAGCACAAUAAGUGAAAAAUAAAGAGAAUCUCAAGUAGGGUGGAAACAGUGGGAAUAGAAAGGAAGUCCUCAAUGGGAUCCACAUGAAGAGCAGGCUCUGUUGGAGAAUAUCUGACAGCAGACAAGGGAGGUGAUAGUCUCAGAAGACCAAGUUUCAGUUAAGGGAGGUCUUAGCAGCAGUUUUCCAAGAGAAAGUCAUGUCAGGAGUAUUCCUCAGCAGAAUAGCCAACAGCAACUCUUACUGAACAUUUAUUCAAUAGAUGAAUACAUUAUUGGCCAUUUUUGGUUUGGGUUAAAAUGAAACAAAAACAGAAAGAUGUAAACAUGAAUGAAUGAAUGAUUUGGGUUGAGCUCUAAAGAGAAAAAUGGAAGAUGGUAAUACAAGCAAAAGUUUGUCAGAGUCAAUCUGAGGAAACGGAAGGCUGGCUGGAUAGAGAUGUGAGUAGAGAACUAGCAAAGACCUUUUCCAAGGAUGAGUGAAGGGCAGAGGAGCUAAAUCAGGGCUUGACCAAAUAGGGCCUGUGGCCGAACCCAGCCCUACCCACCUGUUUUGUGCAGCCCAUGAGCUACCAAUAAAUUUUAUGUUUUUAAAUGGUUAAAUUCAAAGAAUGAUAGCAUUUCAUGACAUGUGAAAAUGAUAUGAAACUCAAAUUUCAACUUCCAUGAAUAAAGUGACGAUGGUUUUUAUUAUUUUAUUAUUAUUAUUAUUAUUAUUUUUGCAGAAAGGACUGGCUUGCACUUUUUAAACAUUAGUUAUAUUAUUCUCACUACAACCCUAUGAGAUAAAAUUCGUUGUUCCCAUUUUACUGAUGAGCAAACUGCAGCUUAUAUUUCAGCCAAAGUCACACAGUUCAUUAAGGACAGAGUCAUCCACGGCAAUCUGCCUAUCCAGAUGUUCCAUUUUCCCCUAGGGUAAAAGCACUGGCUCUAAGAAUAGUGAGAACAAAACAUACUUAUAAAAGAGAGUUGGGGGAGGGGAUUGGGGGCUGGGCAUGGUGGCUCAUGCCUGUAAUCCCAGCACUUUGGGAGGCCAAGGUGAGUGGAUCAUUUGAGGUCAAGAGUUCAAGCCUGGCCAACAUGGUGAAACCCCGUCUCUACUAAAAAUAUAAAAAUUAGCCAGGCAUGGUGGCGGGCGCCUAUAAUCCCAGUUAUUCAGGAGGCUGAGACAGGAGAAUCACUUCAGCCCAGGAGGCAGAGGUUGCAGUCAGCGGAGAUCGCACCAUUGCACUCCAGGUUGGGCGACAGAGCGAGACUCCGUCUCAAAAAACAAAAACAAACAAACAAACAGAAAACAAAGGGAGUUGGGGAGUGUUUUGAAUGCUUAGAGGACAGUUUGGGAACUCAAUUAGAAGGGGACGGUUUAAGCAGACAUAUUUCUAAGAGACUUAUAAUGAGUUAACUCAUUUGAUCCUCACAACUCCUCCAUGAGUUGGAUGCUAUUAUUAACAACUCAGUAUUAGAUAAAGAAUUAGAUACCUUCUUAAAGACCACUUCCCAGGAGAAAGACUGUGUGUGAGUACUCUGAAGCUUUGGGUCUUCUGGUGGGUGACACCACUGGGUUUCCAAAGGCUCAACCAGCCAAGCGAAGUGUCUUUGACCUCGUCGUGUUCAAAGUGCUUAGGGAAGGAUUCUACGGACUGGGCUUUUACCCUGGUGUCCUGCAUUCUUGCUCCAAGACUUCUCUCACCACUCUCAAUCCCCUAACUGCAGCUUCUGACAGCUUCUAGCUACGAGUUCUUGGGCUCCUCCUUGGUGACUUCCUCUUAAGAUAAUUUGAGUUACCACAAAUCAGCAUUUGAAGAAAUGCAGCAGAUAAGUUGAAAAUUUAAGUGCUGAGGGAUGUCAAGGCCAAAACAAUCCUGUAGAAAGCCCAGAGGCAGAUGACAGUCUUUCGUCAAAGAUUUCACUGCUGUAGAUUUCUGAGAGUGCUGUGUAGCUGUCCUUUUCAUCCUGCGUUUGCCAC